rnacentral:rRNA from 1 species
AACGAACGCUGGCGGCAGGCCUAACACAUGCAUGUCGAGCGGACCUUUCGGGGUCAGCGGCGGACGGGUGAGUAACGCGUGGGAAUAUGCCCUUCUCUACGGAAUAGUCCUGGGAAACUGGGGGUAAUACCGUAUACGCCCUUUGGGGGAAAGAUUUAUCGGGGAAGGAUUAGCCCGCGUUGGAUUAGGUAGUUGGUGGGGUAAUGGCCUACCAAGCCGACGAUCCAUAGCUGGUUUGAGAGGAUGAUCAGCCACACUGGGACUGAGACACGGCCCAGACUCCUACGGGAGGCAGCAGUGGGGAAUCUUAGACAAUGGGGGCAACCCUGAUCUAGCCAUGCCGCGUGAGUGAUGAAGGCCUUAGGGUUGUAAAGCUCUUUCAGCUGGGAAGAUAAUGACGGUACCAGCAGAAGAAGCCCCGGCUAACUCCGUGC